GCUUACGACCACACCACCCCUGAGUACGCCUGAUCUCGUCUGAUCUCGGAAGCUAAGCAGGUCGGGCCUGGUUAGUACUUGAUGGGAGACCGCCUGGGAUACCAGGUGGCUGUAAGCU
rnacentral:rRNA from 1 species